GUCUGCCUCACUUGUGGGUCUGCCCACCAACCUUAUAGGACCUCAUAUCCCUCCCUUCUUGAAUGCCUACCUCUCCCCUUCCCUUCCUCCUCACCAUCAGAAAACAGGCAGAGAGACACUCAGUCAUCAGCUCCUCAACAUUUAUUUUGUUGUUGUUGUUACUUGUCCAGUUGGGUUUCUCCCCAUGUGACUAAUCCUGCCCACCCUCCUGUGAGGAUCUGUCACAUCAGUUGAGGUCUUCAUCCUUCUGUGAAGAGCAUUCACAUGAGUUGAGGUCUUCGUCCUGCUGUGAAGACUUUUUACAUGGGUCGAGGUCUUUGUACUUCUGUGAAGGUCCUUCCAAUGGGUCGACGUCUUCGUCCCUCUGUGAAGAUCCUUCCCAUGUGUCGCGGUCUGCGUUCUCCUGUGAAGAUCCUUCCCAUGAGUCAAGGUCUUUGUCCUUCUGUGAAGAUCCUUCCCAUGGGCCGAGGUCUUCAUCCUUCUUUGAAGAUCCUUCAUAUGAGUCGAGGUCUUCAUCCUUCUGUGAAGAUCCUUCCCAUGAGUCAAGGUCUUCGUCCUUCUGUGAAGAUCCUUCCCAUGUGUCAAGGUCUUCGUCCUUCUGUGAAGUUCCUUCCCAUGGGUUGAGGUCUUCAUCCCUCUUUGAAGAUUCUUCAUAUGAGUUGAGGUCUUCAUCCUCUUGUGAAUAUCCUUCCCAUGGGUUGAGGUCUUCAUCCCUUUUUGAAGAUUCUUCAUAUGAGUUGAGGUCUUCAUCCUCUUGUGAAUAUCCUUCCCAUGAGUCGAGGUCUUCGUCCUUCUGUGAAGAUCCUUCCCAUGGGUUGAGCUCUUCUUCCAUGUGUGAAGAUCCCUCACAUGGGUCGAUGUCUUUGUCCUGUGAAGAUCCUUCCCAUGGGUCGAGGUCUUCGUCCAUGUGUGAAGAUCCUUCACAUGUGUCGAGGUCUUCAUCCAUGUGUGAAGAUCCCUCACAUGGGUCAAGGUCUUCGUCCUUCUGUGAAGAUCCUUCCCAUGGGUCAAGGUCUUUGUCCUUGUGUGAAGAUCCCUCACAUGGGUCGAGCUCUUCGUCCUUCUGUGAAGAUCCUUCACAUGAGUCUAGGUCUUCAGCCUCCUGUGAAGAUCCACAGCUGAGUCAUCUAGGUCUUCAUCCUCUUGUGAAUAUCCUUCCCAUGAGUCUAGGUUUUUUUCCUUCUGUGAAGAUCCUUCACAUGGGCCUAGGUCUUUUUUCCCCUCCUCUUGGAUUGGAUCGAUGGGGUUCUUUCGGGACUGGUCAUUCUCCAUUUGAUUUGAACAUAUUUUCUUAUCCUUCCUGUAGUAAAACACUAAUAUUGUUGGAUAUUGUGAUUAUUUUGGUCUUCUUCAAGCUUUGUUCAGAGGCUAAAGCUCGGUGCAGUGUCUCCUGUGUCUGGUAAGAAAAUAGGGAGAG
rnacentral:lncRNA from 13 species